CGCGCAGCCCUUCCCUUAGCCGCCUGGGUUCCCGGCUGAGGGCCCUCCUGGAAGAGCCGAGAGUGGGACCGAGAUAGCCCCGUACUCAUGUCCUAGGACUGCUCUUGGAGCUUUCAGGUCUCCGGGAAGGGCAUUAGUGUACUGGCAAAGCAUUCCAAUAGCAGUGGAGAGCUGUGGACAGCAGAUACCAGAAACACCCCAGUCUUGAAGAUCCAAGGCAGUGAUGGCAUUCACUGAUCACUCCCUUUGCCGGAAGCCCAGA
rnacentral:lncRNA from 1 species